rnacentral:lncRNA from 1 species
GGGUGGAUCAUCAAGAGGAAUUUACUGUAACUUUUUCACAUGGUGUACUAAAGAAAAUAAUGAGGAAAGAGAUUAUGAAAGUGUCAGACAAAGGUGGAGGAUUUNUGAUUUGGAAAUUUUAGUCCAAAAUUUGCAGAAAAGGAUGAAAUUGUACUUAGAGCUAUUUGUGUUGUUAUUGUAGUUAACAUUGUCAUAAUAAAGGUUUGUUCAGGUUGAUUUUGGUAUGUGGCUCAAUGUUUUCGUUGAGGUCUAAGACUGUUUAUGUUCAUAUGAAUGUAAUGUGAAGGUGAAGCUGAAUGUUGACGUUGAAGUGUAGCAGAAUGUUUGUUGAAUGUUUUUGUUGAUGUAAUGUGAAGGUCUAUGUAAUGUGAAGGUGUUCAUGUGAAAUGUUAAAUAUAGUAUCCACUUUCAUUUUAAAAUCUCCAAUGUGGUUCCCAAUUGUAUUUAAAUUUGUUUACUUUUGGUCCCAAAUGGAUUUCAACACAUGUAAAAU